rnacentral:lncRNA from 1 species
CAUGGCAUGAACAGGUCUUAUAUUGGGCGUGGCCUAAGGCACAGGUGAGGGGUCCUUUGAUGGGCGUCUGUGGGACCUGGAUGUAGGGUUGGGGUUCCAGGACAGCAGGGGAGAUGGGGUCAGGCAGAGACUCCUUAGGCUGGGCCUUGCAUGGAGGUGGGGCUUGCACGUGGCGUGGCCUUUGGGAUUAGGUGGGCGGGGCUUCGGAGACAAGUGUGCAUGGGAGUUGGGGGGACGAUCCCCAGGAGGGACGAUCCACAGGAGGGCGUAGCCGGGGCAUCCAUCCGCCCCACAGGAAGGGACAUUAUCCCGUGACCCCGCCCCUGGCACCCACUCCCAGCCCACUUCCUGUUUCUGGACCUGGCUUCGCUGUCUUCCGUCCGCAGCUUUGUGCGCAACUUUGAGGCCACAGCACUGCCACUGCACCUGCUCAUCAACAACGGUGAGGGCAGGGCCUGGGGUGGGGGCACAGUGCUGACUGGCUCCUGAUAUCUUCACUGUGGGCCUCUGACAUCGCCCAGAUACAUGGGCCAGAAUCACACAGGCCACAUUUGCAUAUGCAAAUAAGCCUGUGACUUUUAAUUGCCAGCCAGCAAAUCAGACCGUUAAUAUGCAUGGAGAAAUCUUAUCAGGAAUAUUUCCAAGUGUGCGAAACACCCUGUUUUGUGGAUUUUUUUCCACGUGGGUGAGACUGACCUUUUCCCGUUUCUGUCCUUCCCGGAUAUGUCACUUCCAGGUUGGUGGGACCUGGAAGAACUUCCUGUGGGUGUGUCUUCUUGGUCCCAUUGAUUUUUUCCUGGUGGGCAGGACUUCUUGUCUCCUGUCUCUACUCGUUUCCUGUGAGCCUGCCUCCUGUGUGACUUGUCCUUGACCUCACCCCACCCCCUGCAGCCGGUGUUAUGCUGGACCCGAGUGGCAACACCAAGGACGGAUUCGAGCGCCACGUGGGCGUGAACUUUUUAGGCCACUUCCUGCUGACUUCCCUGCUGUUGCCAGCCCUGCGGGCCUCUGGGCACCAGGGACGCAAGUCGCGCGUCAUCACUGUCUGCUCCUCCACUCACUGGGUGGGCCAGGCGGAUGUGGCCAGGCUGCUGGGGCAGAGGUGAGCACUGGGGGAAGGGAGGAGAACUUUGCUCAGAGAGCAUGCCCUCGGGGUUUGUCAUAGCUGCUGGGGCAGAGCAUGGCGGAGUUGGCAGGUGCGGGGCCUGGGUGAGGACAAGGCCUGGGAGGUGCCCCAGAUGACAUCACUUCUUGUUGAUUGGUGAGGCGGAGACGUCUUUCCUGCAUCUUCUCCAGGCCUGGUAAGGGCCAAGAUGUCCCCACACUUAUUGGGGUGAUUUGCAUGCUCAAAUGACCCAGGUAGCCAUGUUAGCUUGUGCAUAUUAAUGACUUGAUUUGUAUAUUCAAGAGAGGGCGGCCAUUGUGGUGAGUGAAGGGUGGACAGGUUGGUGAUACUACCUAGGUGGUGAUUGACAGGUGUUUGGGGCUAUGGUGUCAUCAGAAGUUUAACAGGUGGGUGGGGCCCAGGGCAUGACUGACAGUUUGGUGGGGACGUGUCAUCCCAUAUUUGACAGACAGGUGGGUGGGACCCCAGGCUGUGGCUGGCAGGUGGACUGGGCUGAGAUGACGCCCUCCCCAUUCUCUGGGUGGGCGUGUCCUGGCCACCACUGCCCUGGGUACCACCCUGACCCAGACCCUGCCCCACAGCCCUGCCCCCUGUGCCCUGGCUGCAUACGCUGGCAGCAAACUGGCCCUGGCUCUGUUCUCCUUGCGGCUGCAGCGCUUGCUCAGUGCCCUGGGCGACCCUGUCACUGCCAACAUUGUCGACCCAGGCGUGGUUGACACCGCACUCUUCGCCCAUGCUGGGUGGGGGACCCGCGCAGUGCAGCGCUUCCUGGGAUGGCUGCUGUUCAAGACCCCCGAUGAGGGGGCUUGGACCUCAGUGUAUGCAGCAGCAUCGCCCAAGCUCGAAGGGAUCGGAGGUCGCUACCUGCGGGACGAGGCGGAGGCUGAGGUGCUGGGGGCUGCGAGAGACCUGGAGCUGCAGGGGCAUCUGUGGGCAGAGUCUUGUAGACUGACUGGCGCGGCCUGGGUGGCGGUCGGGGAAUAAAGGUGUCAUCUUCCUGC